CUUUGGAUGAUACUGAGCUCAGAGAAGUGCCUUUGCACCUCCCUCAUUUUCUCUCUCUAGGAUUUCUCUCUCUUUGAGUAGAAAUCGUCGAUUUGUGCUUAUUUCUCGCCGUUCUUCGCGCUAGCUGGUUUGCGGACUUUGGAGCAGCUACGAGUGGGUGGAAAGGACUCGCAGGGGAGGUAUUUUCGCAACUCCAACUCACAGGGAAGUUGAGUUGAAGUUUAGUGAGAUGGUUUUGAGCAGUAAUUGAGGAACGGUUUUGCUGUAAUUCUUCACCCCAAAGUCAGAUUUGAAGCCUCGGAGGUAAACAAUAACCUCUUUUUCCAUUUUAAUGAUGAAAUUGAUGAUAUUAGUGAAGUUAUGAUGUAGUUUGGGAUUCUUUGUUCGCAGCAGGUUUCCGAAUUAAUUUGAGUUAAAUUGGUGACCUUGGGGACUGGUUUAGAAGGUGUUCUAACCUGAGCGAGAGCGCAACCGACCUUUGGAUCAGCUUUGGUUGACAUCAAAGAGCCUUUAGAGGCUAAACUUGAGGACACAUUUGAGUUGGUUUUAAGAUAAGCAUUGGGAGCCCUUACCGGAAGUGAAGUGUCAAUCUGAGAAGCUGGAAUACCCGGAUCGCUUAGCUACGUGAACUCGACAAAAGGCGUCGUUUAUC